GCAGNUCGAGCGCGAAAUUUUUUCUUCGGAAGAAAGAGUAGAGUGGCGCACGGGUGAGUAACGCGUAAGUAAUCUACCCUGGCAUCCGGAAUAACCCACCGAAAGGUGAGCUAAUACCGGAUACGUUGAGUAAUCAAGAAAGGUGGCCUCUGAUUCAAGCUACUGUGCUGGGAGGAGCUUGCGUACCAUUAGCUAGUUGGUAGGGUAAUGGCCUACCAAGGCGACGAUGGUUAGCGGGUCUGAGAGGAUGAUCCGCCACACUGGAACUGGAACACGGACCAGACUCCUACGGGAGGCAGCAGUGAGGAAUAUUGCGCAAUGGGGGCAACCCUGACGCAGCGACGCCGCGUGGAUGAUGAAGGCCUUCGGGUCGUAAAAUCCUGUCAGAUGGAAAGAAGUGCCGGAUGUCUAAUAUAUAUCCGGUUUGACGGUACCAUCAAAGGAAGCACCGGCUAACUCCGUGCCAGCAGCCGCGGUAAUACGGAGGGUGCAAGCGUUGUUCGGAAUUACUGGGCGUAAAGCGCGCGUAGGCGGCCAUGUAAGUCAGAUGUGAAAGUCCACGGCUCAACCGUGGAAGUGCAUUUGAAACUGUGUGGCUUGAGUACUGGAGGGGGUAGUGGAAUUCCCGGUGUAGAGGUGAAAUUCGUAGAUAUCGG
rnacentral:rRNA from 1 species